AUUGAACGCUGGCGGCAGGCCUAACACAUGCAAGUCGAGCGGAUGAAGGGAGCUUGCUCCUGGAUUCCGCGGCGGACGGGUGAGUAAUGCCUAGGAAUCUGCCUGGUAGUGGGGGAUAACGUCUGGAAACGGGCGCUAAUACCGCAUACGUCCUGAGGGAGAAAGUGGGGGAUCUUCGGACCUCAUGCUCUCAGAUGAGCCUAGGUCGGAUUAGCGAGUUGGUGGGGUAAAGGCCUACCAAGGCGGCGAUCCGUAACUGGGCUGCGGGGAGGAACAGGCACAGAGAAACUGAGACGCGGCACAGGGUCCUACGGGAGGCAGAGGUGGGGAAGAUAGGCCGAAGGGCGAAAGCCUGAUCCAGCCAUGCAGCGUGGGUGAAGAAGGGCUGCGGAUGGGAAAGCACUUUAAGUGGGGAGGAAGGGCAGUAAGUGAAUACCUGGCUGUUUGGACGUUACCAACAGAAUAAGCACGGCCAAACUUCGG
rnacentral:rRNA from 1 species